ACGAAGUCUUCGGACUGAGUGGCGGACGGGUGAGUAACGCGUGAGAAUCUGCCUAGAGGUCGGGGACAACCAUUGGAAACGAUGGCUAAUACCGGAUAUGCCUUACGGGGUGAAAGAUUAAUUGCCUUUAGAAGAGCUCGCGUCUGAUUAGCUAGUUGGUGAGGUAAGAGCUCACCAAGGCAGCGAUCAGUAGCUGGUCUGAGAGGAUGACCAGCCACACUGGGACUGAGACACGGCCCAGACUCCUACGGGAGGCAGCAGUGGGGAAUUUUCCGCAAUGGGCGAAAGCCUGACGGAGCAAGACCGCGUGAGGGAGGAAGGCUCUUGGGUUGUAAACCUCUUUUGUCAGGGAAGAACAAAAUGACGGUACCUGACGAAUCAGCAUCGGCUAACUCCGUGCCAGCAGCCGCGGUAAUACGGAGGAUGCAAGCGUUAUCCGGAAUUAUUGGGCGUAAGGCGUCCGCAGGUGGCUGAUCAAGUCUGCGGUCAAAGACCGGGGCUUAACCCUGGAAAGGCCGUGGAAACUGAUAGAGCUAGAGUACCGUAGGGGUAGAGGGAAUUCCCGGUGUAGCGGUGAAAUGCGUAGAGAUCGGGAAGAACAUCGGUGGCGAAAGCGCUCUACUGGACGGUGACUGACACUCAGGGACGAAAGCUAGGGGAGCGAAUGGGAUUAGAUACCCCAGUAGUCCUAGC
rnacentral:rRNA from 1 species